UCGUAUCAUAAUAAUAUACACAACAUCACCCUCUAUGCUUUACUCUCUUUUUUCAAUAGUCAAUGCAUAUCGAUACAGAAUGGUACAUCGUGUAGUGUGGAAGGGCCAACCCUCAAAUGUUCAAGUACAGAGGAAACUCAAGGUUUCUAAGGAAGGGCUCAUAGGAGAGGGGCAGAACUUAGAGUCUAAGAGUAAGUGUAAGUGCAGUAGAGGGGAAAUGGCAAGCUGGUGGUCAUGCCUAGAAAUUUGGGAUGUCGGAACACCCAUGACCAGUCUGUCAGUUUUAAAUUGUUGAGUUAGGACCUGUAAAAGGACAGGUUCAGCCCUGGACAACCAUUUGGAUGAUGCCAAACCAUGAACUUUAACUCAACAUACAAAGGGAAGUGGGAAAUGAGAAUUUAUAAUAGAAGCAGGAUGCAAGAAAAGAGUAGGCAAAGGGCAUUCUCAGCAAUGAGACAUACUGGCACACCCUCCAGUGUACUUAGGGGUUGGGGGGUCAAAAACUCAGUUCAUGGACAAAAAUUCUUAUUCCCAUGCCCUGAGUCCCCACUUACAAACACAUAUAUGGGGUAAUGGGAUGGGGAGCAAAUGUUCACAAGAAAGAGAAGAAAGCAGUAUCAUAUAAGCAUGUUAAGUUCAAUGUUAAAUUCAGUAGAAAAUAUAAAUAGAUGCAAAGACCGCAAGUAAACACAUUGGGAUGAUGCUGAGAAUCAAAUUAAGACAUACCAGUUUUAAAGAGACAAGCAAAGAGAAAGAAGUAGUCUUGUGAAAGCCAAAGUGCAGAUAAGAAUACUUUUUAGUGAAAGUUCAGAAGAGAUUGUGAAAAUGAUAAGUGUAAAGUCUGAAGUGUAUUCAGUUGUGUGUUGUGAAAGAGAAAGAGUCGUGUAUUUAUAGUGUAGAAAGAAAGCAGGAACAAGGUAAGAAAUAAUUUAAAAACUGAUUGCUAAUCAAUUACAGAACCUCCCUUAAUUAAGGGAUUCAGAUUCAAACGAGCAUAAACUAGUUAAGGAAAUAAAUUAAUCAAACUCUCUGCAAAGUAGCAAAUUAGGGGCAAGUACAUAAAAGUUAUUUAAGGGCAGGGUUUUGACAGUACACGAUUGUAUAAUUAAGGAAAGAGAAUCUAUUAACAACCAAGAAAUUAGAAGUCCAAAUAUUUAGUGUGAAUGAAUCCAUUUAGAAAAGGUGAAGAAAUGGUUUUACUUAAGGAAAAUCAAACAAUCAAUUAAAUCUAAAAAAAGGAUUCUGAUUCAUUUAUAAAUUGGAAUACCUUUUGAAGAAAGAUUCAACACACAUAUAAAAGCAUACAGACACGCUUAUACACGAAGAAUGAUCAUGUCAAUGAGUUGAAGAGUCUAGCGUAGAAAAGUUCAGAAUUGUAUGUAAGCAAAGAAGUUCAACUUAGUUCAAAGGUUCAAAAUUAGUCUAAAAGAGUCGAGGUUUCUAAAAUAGAACCCUAGUUCAAUCACAUGACCAAACCCCGACAGAACCCUCAAUUCUAGGGUUUCCACCUCGAGUCAAGUGUAGAGAUGAGGAAGCAAGUAGUUAAAGAUAGGCUCAGAGAUUUCUUUCAGAAAUUCAUAAGAAAACAAACAAAAUACAGUUUCAGGUUCAAAGCAAACAAAGUGAAGAAACUAAUUCAAAGCAUAAUGAGAGUAGAAGAAACAGUAGAGGGAAACACUCUUAAACGGGUCCUUUAGAAGGAACUUAAAUCAAGGUAAAGUAUAAGUGAAACAACAAAACCCUUAAGAACAUGGUAGAAGGAUAAAGUAGGUGAAACAUAUCAAAUCAUAGUGGCAGAAAAAUAGUAGAACAUAGUGAGAAAGCAUGUGAGAUCAUAGCAUAGAAAACACAGUAGAAGAAAAGAACGAAUAUAAAAAACACAAUAAAAGAACAUGUAUGGUAUAAAGGAAACAUAAGAACAUAGCGGAGACAAAUACACACAAAGAAAAGUCAGAGAAACAUUUUAACCAUUUCAGAAAACCCUAAAUUGAAAAAGAAGCGAUUUUAAGAGUAAUCUUAGAAAGAAACGUUGUGGA
rnacentral:lncRNA from 1 species